AGGUUUUAAACAACUCCAGAUCUUGUGGAUUCAAAAGGCUGACCUCGAAAGUUGGGAGGCUUCAAGAGAUCACUUCCCAAGACUUAAGACUUGUUCUUAACUGUGCUAAGCUUGAGAAUGUGCCAGUUGAGUUAUCUCAUCUUCUCCGAUCGCUCUCCUGAAAGCAUCAAACUCCAACUCAUUGUAUUCCCUCCUGAAACUGAUUUAAAAGGUCAGUUGAGAAAAACUUCUUUACUCUGCAUUGCAUUUUUUUCUCAAACAUUGAUUUGAGCAGUAUUUUUUAUUUUUUGCCCAUUACAAUAUAAAUUUUAGCCCAUGUUGACAGGAGCAUGGUCCUGGUGAUCAUUCACUAUUCUUCUUGCGUUUCUUUACUUAAAAACAUAUGGUUGGACCAUGAUUAAGAAUAUGAAUAGCAUGUUUUUUAUUAUAACUUAUAUUAACUUCUAUGGACAUGGUACUGGACUAGAUUGAAUAUUGUGAAUGAAUUUCUUCUAAACCACCUCAAACUAGUGCUAGUUGAUGAGUAUUAACUUGAAACAAAAAAAUAAAGUCAAAUUUCUCAAGGGUAUAGUCUCAAUUCCAAUAAAAUGCAAUUGGCAAAGACUAGUGCUAGUUGAUGAGUAUUAACUUGAAACAAAAAAAUAAAGUCAAAUUUCUCAAGGGUAUAAUCUCAAUUCCAAUAAAAUGCAAUCGGCAAAGAAGGACUUGAAGAGAUUCCCCUACAGGCAAAGAAACUUAAUUAUACUUCUGAUCCUUUUUUUCUUUUGAAAAAAAACUGAUUUUCCUCUUUUCUGCAGGAAAGAAUCAGGACAUUGACAUUGCCGGAAGCCUAGGAUACAAGGAGAAAUUGAAUAUUUCUCUUUGAUACUGAUUCACUGCAUUUCAUGUUUUUUGCAGUCUAGUCUUCUGAUAAUAAAACUUUUUUCUCUUUUUGGAAGCCUUGGAUACAAGGAGAAAUUGAAUAUUUCUCUUUGAUACUGAUUCACUGCAUUUCAUGUUUUUUGCAGUCUAGUCUUCUGAUAAUAAAACUUUUUUCUCUUUUUGUUUGUUCGAGCAUUGUGAAGUUGAAAAUAAGUCUCCGCCUGUUGUUAGUUAGGGGGGUCACCGGAAAAAAUUCUGUAUUUGUAUGUAUAUAUAGGCUAUAUACCUUGAGAAAGGGAUAUAUACUUGAUAGGGCACCUUAAUGGUAAGUUCUAUAGAGCGGUGGUUAGACCGACCAUAAUGUAUGAGGCAAUUCUCAUGUAUAGAAGAUGAAUGUUGCAGAAAUGAGGAUGUUGAGAUAGACACACUAGGCUGGAUAAGAUUAGGAAUGAAAAGAUAUUCGGGGAAGGUGGACGUGGCUCCCAUAGAAGACAAGAUGCGAGAAGCUAGGCUUAGAUGGUUCGGGCACGUGCGGAAGGAGAAGCAUAGAUGCCCCAGUUAGGAGAUGUGAGAAAAGGUAGAGGGCAGCCAAAGAAAUAUUAGGGAGAGUUGAUCAGGUAGGGCCUGGUGCGACUUCAGAUUUUCGAAGACAUGACCCUUGACAGGAAGUUAUGGAGGGCGAGCAUUAAGGUUAUAAGUUAGGAAGUAGGAUGCUAGCAUGUGUUUGUCUUAGGCUGCUAGUGACUUCGAUUGUGUCCUUAUAUCUUCUUUAGGAAUACAGGUUAGGUCGUUGGAGACUAGUCCGAUAGUAUAGUGUCUUAGGGUGCUAGUGGCUCUUGUUGUAUCCAUAUUACUAUAUUGUGUCUGUAGUACUGUACCCUUGUUACUGCUUAUUAUAAUUGCUUUCACUCUAUUUUUUGGUUACUACGCUGCUGAUAUUAUCUCUCUUUCUUUCUUGCUUACUCUGAUAUUAUUGUAUCACUGUCUCUUUUCAUCUAGCCGAGGGCCUAUCGGAAACAACGAGUAGGAGUAAGGUCUGCGUACACACUAUCCUCCAUAGAUCUCACUUGUGGGAUUCCACUAGGUUGUAAUUGUUAUAGUUUCCGCCCCAAUCAUCUUUUCUCUUUUGAUUAAACCCCUCAAAAAGUCAUUAGACUAGAUUUCCUUCUUUUUAUAGUUUCCACCCCUCAUCCGCAUGCCCCGGAUCAAGAGAGUAACGCAUGCCUUGGUGCCUUCAACUCCUGGGUUCGUCUUUGUCCGCAUGGUUUUGCAGAUGCUCCUGGAUUUGUUGCAUUUUGAGUUCCCGUCACAUGGAGUGCUUUUUUUCUAGAGUCCAUUACUUAAAUGGUCACUAACUAUCCCAAAUUAUCUUUUAAAGUCACUUUCUUUCGUUUGUAACAACAAAGUCAAUCAAUUAUGCAUAUUGCACUCAGAA
rnacentral:lncRNA from 1 species